AGCGCACCCAUUGGGGAGUAGCCUGCUCGCGGAUCCUUCGCGAGUUCCCGUAUCAACAUACUCGUCGCCUCCCUGGCGACGUGGUACGGGCAGCCGUCUCGGUUGGCAAGACCUUUGGCAUACCGCGCGCUUUUGACCGGGCCGUGCGGCGUGCCUUCGUCAUUGCCCGGCCAG
rnacentral:sRNA from 2 species